CCUACGGGGUGCAGCAGUGGGGAAUAUUGGACAAUGGGCGAAAGCCUGAUCCAGCCAUGCCGCGUGUGUGAAGAAGGCCUUCGGGUUGUAAAGCACUUUCAGUGGGGAAGAAAGCCUUGGGGCUAAUACCCUCGAGGAAGGACAUCACCCACAGAAGAAGCACCGGCUAACUCCGUGCCAGCAGCCGCGGUAAUACGGAGGGUGCGAGCGAUAAUCGGAAUUACUGGGCGUAAAGCGCGCGUAGGCGGUCUGAUAAGCCGGUUGUGAAAGCCCCGGGCUCAACCUGGGAACGGCAUCCGGAACUGUCAGGCUAGAGUGCAGGAGAGGAAGGUAGAAUUCCCGGUGUAGCGGUGAAAUGCGUAGAGAUCGGGAGGAAUACCAGUGGCGAAGGCGGUCUUCUGGACUGACACUGACGCUGAGGUGCGAAAGCGUGGGUAGCAAACAGGAUUAGAUACCCGAGUAGUC
rnacentral:rRNA from 1 species